UAUGUGGCCUUUGUAACUGAUGUCUUCUAUGCGUUUUGUCUGUGCAGACCUGUGAUGGGAAAAAAAAUAUUUGUAUGUUAAAUUGGAAUAUGAAAGUUGGAAAGAUAUAGAAAAAGAAAGUGGAAAGAAGUUAACUAAUAAAAGAAAUUGAUGCAUUUGUGGUUUCAACACACGGUUUUAAUUUUUGAGUGGCCUAAUUCAGAUCACAAGAGCUUGUCCACACUCCAAUGUACAUUUCUUGAAUAUUAUAUUAUUGAUCUGGGAAACUCAGAAAAUUUAAUCAGGACGCUGGACUUUAAAAAGGUCCCAAAUCUUUAGGAGUUGAUUCUUGAAGGAUGUAGAAGACUGCAAGAAGUUCAUCAGUCUAUUGGAGUUCUGAAAAGGCUUUCCCAGAGCCCGAAGAACUGUCAAACCCUUGUAGCUCUUCCAAGCAGCAUGUGUAAUUGAAGUCCCUUAAGAUUCUUAUUUUGCAUGGCUGCUCAAAACUUGAGAAACUGCCUAGGAGGCUAGGCGAUAUAACAUGUUUGGAAGAGUUUGAUGCAUCUGAAAUUGGUACAAGAAAAACCAUUAGGAUUUUCUUCUACCUUGAUGGCUGUUGCCAUGGAAAAAGAACAUCUCAUUGCUUUUGCCUUAUCUUCUGUGAUGGCUUUACCCUUUUUGAAAGAACUUAAUCUAAGUUACUGUAAUCUACCAGAAGGAGCAAUUCCCAGCAACCUUAGUGGCUUCCCCUCAUUGAAACAUCUAAAACUAAGUGGAAAUGAUUUUGUAAGCUUACCUUUAAGCAUCUGUCACAUUUCUCAACUUCAGUGUCUUGAACUAUCUAAUUGGAAGAGGCUUCAGUCAUUGCCAGAUCUUCCAUCAAAUAUUCUAGGUCCGUUUUUGAGAAAUUGCACUUCUCUGGAAAAUCUUCCAAAUGUGUGUGAAAAGCACAACAUGAAGAGUUUUUUACUAGAGUUUCCAAAUUGCUCCAAAUUGAAUGAUCAUCAAGGGAAAAUCAGUACGGCAUUUACAUGGCUGAAAAGUUACCUGCUUUCUUUUCUGAAAGUUUGGCUGCUAAUACAAUAUGAUAAAUUUGCACAAGCCAGGACAGUUUGAAAAAAGUUGUCAUAAGGUUUCUCUUUCCCUCUGUAUUCCUUUCCUUUAUAUCUUUGUUAAAUUUCCGUAUACUAAAACUUUAUCGGUAAUAACUUUGGUGCAGAAAGGCAUUAAUUUAUGAGACAUUUGUGUGUUACUCCCUGACUUCAUAUUGCACUUACCUGGAAAUGAAAUUCCUAAAUGGUUCAACUAUAAGAGUGUCAAGAGUCCAUUGAGAAUACGCCUACUUCAAUGUGAAAAGUGAUGGAACAUUGCAGGUUUUUUGGUUUGUGUUUUCAUUUCGGGAGACGUAUUUUGUAUUGAAACAGUUUGCGAUUUUACAUAGUGAAAACAGGAAGGUCUUGAGCAGCUCCUAUCAAGUCAAAGUCCUUGGAAAUACAUUUCUUUCAUUGGACCAUCUUUGCCUCUUCUUUGUUACCAAUGGCAGAAUAUAUCCUUAUGAGGAAUGUAGUCCAAUUGAAGUGCUGCUAACUUUUGAUGAAGCUGAAAUCAAUGUGUGGGAUGCACACUGUACAUGAGAAACCAAUAGAGGAGUUAAUCCAAUUCAACAAACCUUUAGAAAAUUUGGGUCUCUGUCAGUAUGUUGAUGAAAAUAUUCCAAGCCAUGAAGGCAGUUCUGACAGUGGAGAACAAGAAAACAUGGACGAGGUUAACCUAGGAGAGGAAGAUAGUGUGGAGGAAGAGAGAGGAAUUUUAACAACACUUGAUUACAGUACAAACUCAGCUGCAAUAUAAUAUCCUACUUUGUUACAUAAAAACUUAUGAUCUAUAUAGGGUUGAUUUAAUGUUCUCUGUUAUCCCAUUAUUUAGUAAUUAUAUGAUUCAUAACUUCAAU
rnacentral:misc_RNA from 1 species